rnacentral:rRNA from 11 species
AAGACCGUACCCCAAACCGACACAGGUGGUCAGGUAGAGAAUACCAAGGCGCUUGAGAGAACUAUGUUGAAGGAACUCGGCAAAUUACUCCCGUAAGUUCGCGAGAAGGGAGCCUGGCAUUAGGCAACUGGUGUCCAGGGGCACAGACCAGGGGGUGGCGACUGUUUAUUAAAAACACAGGGCUCUGCGA